rnacentral:rRNA from 1 species
GAUGAACGCUGGCGGCGUGCCUAAUACAUGCAAGUCGAGCGAACAGAUGAGGAGCUUGCUCCUCUGACGUUAGCGGCGGACGGGUGAGUAACACGUGGAUAACCGACCUAUAAGACUGGGAUAACUUCGGGAAACCGGAGCUAAUACCGGAUAAUAUAUUGAACCGCAUGGUUCAAUAGUGAAAGACGGUUUUGCUGUCACUUAUAGAUGGAUCCGCGCCGCAUUAGCUAGUUGGUAAGGUAACGGCUUACCAAGGCAACGAUGCGUAGCCGACCUGAGAGGGUGAUCGGCCACACUGGAACUGAGACACGGUCCAGACUCCUACGGGAGGCAGCAGUAGGGAAUCUUCCGCAAUGGGCGAAAGCCUGACGGAGCAACGCCGCGUGAGUGAUGAAGGUCUUCGGAUCGUAAAACUCUGUUAUUAGGGAAGAACAAAUGUGUAAGUAACUAUGCACGUCUUGACGGUACCUAAUCAGAAAGCCACGGCUAACUACGUG